rnacentral:rRNA from 1 species
UACGAAGGGGGCUAGCGUUGUCCGGAUUUAUUGGGCGUAAAGAGCUCGUAGGCGGUUUGGCAAGUCGGGUGUGAAAACUCCGGCUCAACUCGGAGACGCCACUCGAUACUGCCAUGACUCGAGUCCGGUAGGGGAGUGCGGAAUUCCUGGUGUAGCGGUGAAAUGCGCAGAUAUCAGGAGGAACACCGGUGGCGAAGGCGGCACUCUGGGCCGGUACUGACGCUGAGGAGCGAAAGCGUGGGGAGCGAACAGG